rnacentral:misc_RNA from 1 species
AGUAAGUAGUGAGUUACAGUUGUAAAGAAAUUAUCUAGUUAUUUAGGUGGAAGUGGAUCAAGGGACCUUGCAGAAAUUGCUUUUUAUUGUGCUUCAAUUUAUAUGGAUUUUUUUUUUUUGUUUUUCUCAAUAUCUUUGUAAUUAUCCGUUGAUUUUUCUCAUCAGUUUUUGUAACCAAAAUGUCUCCUUACACAAGCUGGGCUGUCUAUCAGCUCUGUUUUUUCACUUCAUGCAUGGCAAUUGUCUUGGAUGUUCUACUUCAUCUUUAUUGUUUCCCACCUUCCCUACUCUGUUAGACAAUGUUUUGUGUUGACCAUCUUCUUCUAUUCUCCUUCUUAUUGCUGUUUUACUGUAUUAUCCCCUUCUUGGUAUCUAAUGCUCUGUGUCAUCUUGACGCAAUGGAAUUAGCAGAUUGUGGUUGAUCAAAGCAAUUUUGUUUGGGAUGCCCAUGAGGGAUGACAUGGAAGAGAUCUUUGCUUACGCAAGUCUGACCUUGCGAAUAUGCGCUUCAAUCACAAGGUGAAAAUUGUUGGUUUCUUAAUUUGAUAGAAGCAAUGUGGACAGAGUUUCAUGAUCUGUAAAAGUCACUAAAGCACACUGGAUGCCAUGCCAUCCCAAUUGUUUAUUUCGAAUCCUAACCUCUUGUUUGCUAUGCCAUUCUUUUUAAUUUCUUUCCUAAUAAUGCUGUUAACAUAAAGAGUGAUAUUUGUUGAGAAAUUAAAUUCUAAGAUGGAUGUGUGGAAAUGAA